GGGGAAGUAGCUCAGCUGGUAGAGCGCGUCGUUCGCAAUGACGAGGUCGGGAGUUCGAUCCUCCUCUUCUCCA
rfam:Xylella fastidiosa PLS229 contig00008, whole genome shotgun sequence.